rnacentral:rRNA from 2 species
UACAUGUGGGGCAAGCGUUGUUCGGAAUUACUGGGCAUAAAGGGUGCGUAGGUGGUUUGCUAAGUCAGGGGUGAAAUCCCGCGGCCCAACCGUGGAACUGCCUUUGAUACUGGCGAACUUGAGUGCGUGAGGGGUAACCGGAACGAGCAGUGUAGCGGUGAAAUGCGUAGAUAUUGCUCGGAAGGCCAGAGGCGAAGGCGGGUUACUGGUACGCAACUGACACUGAGGCACGAAAGCGUGGGGAGCAAACAGG